UGAUGAUGAUGAUGAUGAUGAUGAUGAC
rnacentral:ncRNA from 2 species